rnacentral:rRNA from 1 species
UACGGAGGGUGCGAGCGUUGUCCGGAAUCACUGGGCGUAAAGGGCGCGUAGGCGGCCUGAUAAGUAGGGGGUGAAAUCCUGCGGCUUAACCGCAGGGCUGCCUUCUAAACUGUCAGGCUGGAGCACAGUAGAGGCAGGUGGAAUUCCCGGUGUAGCGGUGGAAUGCGCAGAUAUCAGGAGGAACACCGAUUGCGAAGGCAGCUCGCUGGGACGUUACUGACGCUGAGACGCGAAAGCGUGGGGAGCAAACAGG